rnacentral:rRNA from 1 species
GCUCAUCACAUCCUGGGGCUGCAGUAGGUCCCAAGGGUAUGGCUGUUCGCCAUUUAAAGUGGUACGCGAGCUGGGUUUAGAACGUCGUGAGACAGUUCGGUCCCUAUCUGCCGUGGGCGCUGGAGAAUUGAGGGGGGCUGCUCCUAGUACGAGAGGACCGGAGUGGACGCAUCACUGGUGUUCGGGUUGUCAUGCCAAUGGCACUGCCCGGUAGCUAAAUGCGGAAGAGAUAAGUGCUGAAAGCAUCUAAGCACG